AGGAUUAUAAUUUAAUUAAAAUACUUGAUUUGCAUUCAAGAAAUAUUGAUAUUUCAAUUUAUCUUA
rnacentral:tRNA from 1 species